AUUGAACGCUGGCGGCAGGCCUAACACAUGCAAGUCGAGCGGAUGAAGGGAGCUUGCUCCUGGAUUCAGCGGCGGACGGGUGAGUAAUGCCUAGGAAUCUGCCUGGUAGUGGGGGAUAACGUCCGGAAACGGGCGCUAAUACCGCUUACGUCCUGAGGGAGAAAGUGGGGGAUCUUCGGACCUCACGCUAUCAGAUGAGCCUAGGUCGGAUUAGCUAGUUGGUGGGGUAAAGGCCUACCAAGGCGACGAUCCGUAACUGGUCUGAGAGGAUGAUCAGUCACACUGGAACGGAGACACGGUCCAGACUCCUACGGGAGGAAGCAGUGGGGAAUAUUGGACAAUGGGCGAAAGCCUGAUCCAGCCAUGCCGCGGGUGUGAAGAAGGUCUUCGGAUUGUAAAGCACUUAAGUUGGGAGGAAGGGCAGUAAGUUAAUACCUUGCUGUUUUGACGUUACCAACAGAAUAAGCACCGGCUAACUUCAUG
rnacentral:rRNA from 1 species